GAUGAACGCUAGCUACAGGCUUAACACAUGCAAGUCGAGGGGAAACGACAUUGAAGCUUGCUUCGAUGGUCGUCGACCGGCGCACGGGUGAGUAACGCGUAUCCAACCUGCCUCUGACCAAGGGAUAACCCGUCGAAAGUCGGCCUAAUACCUUAUGCAGUCGUCGGAAGUCAUCUGAUGACGACGAAAGAUUUCAUCGGUGAGAGAUGGGGAUGCGUCUGAUUAGCUUGUUGGCGGGGUAACGGCCCACCAAGGCAACGAUCAGUAGGGGUUCUGAGAGGAAGGUCCCCCACAUUGGAACUGAGACACGGUCCAAACUCCUACGGGAGGCAGCAGUGAGGAAUAUUGGUCAAUGGGCGAGAGCCUGAACCAGCCAAGUAGCGUGCAGGAUGACGGCCCUAUGAGUUGUAAACUGCUUUUAUGCGGGGAUAAAGUGAGGAACGUGUACUUCAUUGCAGGUACCGCAUGAAUAAGGACCGGCUAAUUCCGU
rnacentral:rRNA from 1 species